rnacentral:siRNA from 1 species
UGAUGGUGAUAUUGUUGAUUGC